CCCUUAGAUGUCCUGGGCCGCACGCGCGCUACACUGACAUGUUCAACAAGUUUCUCCUAGUUCGACAGGACUGGGAAAUCUUUGAACGCAUGUCGUGAUAGGGAUAGAUCAUUGCAAUUAUUGAUCUUGAACGAAGAAUUCCUAGUAAACGCGAGCCAUCAGCUCGCAUUGAUUACGUCCCUGCCCUUUGUACACACCGCCCGUCGCACCUACCGAUUGAAUGUUUCGGUGAAGAUUCCGGAUAGGACUGAUUUGAUUUAUUUCAUUUCUGACCUAAAAGCUAUCUAAACCUCAACAUUUAGAGGAAGGUGAAGUCGUAACA
rnacentral:rRNA from 1 species